AACGUAGGUUCCGAGCGUUAUCCGGAUUUACUGGGCGUAAAGCGCGUUCAGGCGGUUCGGCAAGUCGGGCAUGAAAUCUCUCGGCUCAACCGGGAGAGGUUGUCCGAUACUGUUGGACUUGAGGGCAGUAGAGGGUGGUGGAAUUCCGGGUGUAGUGGUGAAAUGCGUAGAUAUCCGGAGGAACACCAGUGGCGAAGGCGGCCACCUGGACUGUACCUGACGCUCAAACGCGAAAGCUAGGGGAGCGAACGGG
rnacentral:rRNA from 1 species